rnacentral:rRNA from 1 species
UCCGGGUUGAUCCUGCCAGAUCCGACUGCUAUCCGGGUAAGACUAAGCCAUGCAAGUCGAAUGGAAUCGCUGAUUCCAUGGCGAACUGCUCAGUAACAAGUGAUCAACUUACCCUUCAGUGGGGGAUAACCUCGGGAAACUGAGGCUAAUCCGCCAUAGUUGGCACACCCUGGAACGGGGUGCCCUCGAAAGAUAUUUCGAAAUGCCGAAUGUUCGCUGAAGGAUAGGAUCGCUUUCGAUUACGGUUGUUGGUGAGGUAAUGGCUCACCAAGCCUCUGAUCGAUAAGGGCCGUGAGAGCGGUAGCCCUGAGAUGGAUACUGAGACAAUGAUCCAGGCCUUACGAGGGGCAGCAGGCGCGAAACCUUUACAAUGCGCGACAGUGUGAUAAGGUUACCCGGAGUGCUAAGAGAAAACUUUUAGCUGUUAUAGGUGUGUAAAUAACCCUAUGAGAAAGGAGAGGGCAAGGCUGGUGCCAGCCGCCGCGGUAAAACCAGCUCUUCAAGUGGUCGGGAAUAUUAUUGGGCUUAAAGCGUCCGUAGCCGGUUAGAACAGUUCCUGGUAAAAUCUGGCAGCUUAACUGUCAGGUCGCUAGGAAUACUAUCUUACUAGAGGGUGGGAAAGGUUU